AUGUCUCAAGACUAGCCAUGCACGUCUAAGUACAAACUAAAUGAUGGUGAAACUGCAAAUGGCUCAUACAACGGUUAUGAUGUACCCGGGAGUUCCGAUGGAUAUUUCCAGUAACACUAGAACCAAUACAUGUCCCUGCGUUUAUUAGUUUCGCACAGUCCGUCGCUGAGUCAUGGUAAACAGUUGAUCGACUCGACGUCCCGGAACAGUUUCCGCCCCAUCAGCUUCGAUGGUUGGGUAUUGGCCUACCAUUGCAACAACGGGUGACGAGGAAUUAGGGUUUGAUUUCGGAGAGGGAGCCUGAGAAACGGCUACCACAUCUACGGAUGGCAGCAGGCGCGCAAAUUACCCAAUGCAGACACUGUGAGGUAGUGACGAGAAAUAAUAAAGCGGGACUUCUGUUUCGCUAUUAUAAUGAGGAAUAACCAAAGGUCAUUCCGAUUAGCAACUGAUGGGAAAGUCUGGUGCCAGCAGCCGCGGUAAUACCAGCGUCAGUAGCA
rnacentral:rRNA from 1 species